rnacentral:rRNA from 1 species
UUUGAAAACGUGAUCCUGGCUCAGGAUGAACGCUGGCGGCGUGCCUAAUACAUGCAAGUCGAGCGAAUGGAUUAAGAGCUUGCUUUUAUGAAGUUAGCGGCGGACGGGUGAGUAACACGCGGGUAACCUGCCCAUAAGACUGGGAUAACUCCGGGAAACCGGGGCUAAUACCGGAUAACAUUUUGAACCGCAUGGUUCGAAAUUGAAAGGCGGCUUCGGCUGUCACUUAUGGAUGGACCCGCGUCGCAUUAGCUAGUUGGUGAGGUAACGGCUCACCAAGGCAACGAUGCGUAGCCGACCUGAGAGGGUGAUCGGCCACACUGGGACUGAGACCCGGCCCAGACUCCUACGGGAGGCAGCAGUAGGGAAUCUUCCGCAAUGGACGAAAGUCUGACGGAGCAACGCCGCGUGAGUGAUGAAGGCUUUCGGGUCGUAAAACUCUGUUGUUAGGGAAGAACAAGUGCUAGUUAAUAAGCGGCACCUGACGGUACCAACCAGAAACCCA